CCUUUUGUCAGAGGGUGGUCUAGGAAUGGGAAGGGUGUGGAUUUGUUGGUCCUAACUUGUUGUUGAUGCGGUGGAGCCGUGUGUGUGUGUGUGUGUGUGUGUCACCAUCUGCUGCCUAGAAACCCCCGGCUGACAUCACACAUCACACAGUAUAAAUGGUCACUUCAGCAGUCGUGUCAGUGGGAGCCGCUGCCCUGACCCUUAACGGGUGUGCCAUGCACGUGUUUGCUUGUUCUAUUGCUGUAGUUCAUGUUUUUAGUCACUUUUCCUACUUGAAGUCAAACUGCUGUAAAAAAAAAAAAAGUCUAUUUACAUAUUUGUCAACUGGGGAUGAAAGUACAGUUGUGGCAUCACGCCCAAAUCAUUUAAUGGCUCCUUCCACACUUCCUGCCCACCUGCCUUCCUCGAGUCGACUGCACUCAUCUUCCGACUUGUCUUUCAUUAGGAUCCCAACUACACACCUGUAGGGUUUCGUAACAGCUUCUAGCCCGGCGGCUACGCUACUGUACUUACCAAAUCGGUCUACGAAUCCAGUUCUCUCCUGCUGGAAGGUGUCUGCAGGCACAUUUUACCAUGAUCACAGACACACACAGAUACACAAACAAGGCUAAUUUCUUAAAGAAACUCAAGAAGAACUGUUGCAUUUAAGAAUACACCAAAUAACUUAACACUAAAGGCUGCACCUUACUAUUUAAGUUCAUCGACAGCAGGAAUCCAGAGCGUCACUGAUUAGCAACAUUAUACUAUUUUAUUCCUACCGAUGCACUCAAAGGCACGACCGUCUAAGGCUAUAUCUAAGACUAUAUAAGACUAUAUCUAAGACUAUUUCUGAGACUAUAUCUGAGACUAUCUAAGACUAUCCAAAACUAUAUCUAAGACUAUAUCUAAGGUUAUAUCUAUGGUUAUAUCUAAGACUAUAUCUAAGGUUAUAUCUAUGGUUAUAUCUAUGACUAGCUAAGGCCAUAUCUAUGGCCGUCUAAGGCUUUUGCUGGUGGGGUUCAGUUCAAUAUUGGCAGCUGCGUACGAUGCUUUGUUCAAGGUCGUAAGAACUUGUUUUUUUUCCCUUUCGAAUCAAGCCAGCAUUGUUGCUUUGUGAAUUCUGAGAAUCUGAAGGACUCACCUUCCUUUUUCAAAGCCUCGUUAAUCUCUGCUGCCCCGGCUAAUAAACAUCAUGCACUGAAAGAGAGCUCACAAAGAAGAACAGUAAUUCGUUUUCCUCCUGUGAGCUAAUCAAUUCUCCUAUAACUCUGUUGGAUGUGGCCUUAUGCACUUUUCUCUUGAUCUACCUGGCAACUGUGACCUCAUCCCAUCUUUCAGGAUUUAAAUUUGAACAAAAUCAAAACGCAAAUCGGAUUUAAUCUUGAUUCGUAUUUUCUCGGUUUGUCGGUUUAAAAGUGUUUACGUCAGCACAAAGACGCUUCCCAACUUUUCACUGGCGAAUAAUUGGCGAAUAAUCAUCCUCAUCCUCUUAUAUCCACAGUUAUACUCAACGUGGUCCGCAGGGCAGUGGCAGCUUCAUUGUUUGCCUGCAUGUCAGCUUUCACCGUGGGCCGCUGUUGCACCUGAUCCAGAAGGCAGAGCGAUGCAGGUGAUUAAGGUUUGAAGGACAGAGAAUUAUAUAAUAAAUGAACAAACAAGAGAGGUAGAUAAAAAAUGAACAAACAAGCCACUCAGUCGCCGUUCAAGGGAGCGGCUGCCUCCUGCCAUCUGUUGUGGGAAUAACUGUGCUGCUUGUUGACACGAGAAUCUGCAGAAUAACAGACCUUUUUAAGUUUUAAUGUGUGUUUGUUUUAUGAAUAAUACACGGUUAAUACACACCUGUGUUGAUUAACAGUGUGUCAGUGAUCCCUGGUGAUGCACAGAUGUGAUGCGUCUCUUUGGGUUUUUUAUUUUCCUUUUUGUUGUGUGUUUGGGAAAAAGAAGCUGAUUUAGUUUUUGUUUGUUUCAUAUGUUUGAUUUUCCGCUCGUCACUCAUUGAUCAUGUAUGGCCCAAAAGGCUGCAGAGCUGUAAAGGGAGAGCCUCACAGAAUGCACCGUUGGAGGAUGGACUGACAGCGCCCCCUGGUGGUUAAACACGAGCACCACUGUUCGCUUAAUAAGAAGCAUUAAAGUUAAACAAUAAAGGUUUUUCUUUUCUAGAUUGUCACAUAUUUUUAUUUAUUUUUAUCUUUAAAAAUGAAUGAAAAAAUGUAUUAAUAACGAAUACUUGGUUGAACCUUGGAGAGGAGCUUCAGAAAAGAAAAUAUUUCUAUUUUGCCAGCAUUGCCACAAGCCACAUGUUUGGAUCGAUAGAUAGGAAAUGUUGUGCUGGUCGUAGAAAUAUGAUUAUGGAAUCCAACAGACUCACACACUCGGCCCCUGUCAUGUGUCAACAGGGAAAACACCGCGGGAGUGAACACCAGAGUGACCUUUGACCCCCUCAGCCCCAAACAGAGCCCGAGAGGACGGCCGCGGGUCAGAGAGAAGAAGAGAGGCAUCGAACCAAUGAAUCAAUAAUUACAGAGAGUCUUGUGACUAUUCUACCAUUAUAUUUAUAUAAUAGUGCUGUAUAACAAUGACAAUGAAACAUCCCUUUAGAUUUUUAAAGAUAUUUCCGUUUUAAAGGCCCAAGAAUAUUAACGUUUGUAAAAGUGAGUUCUCUCUAAAUCUGACCAAAUAAAGGCAACAGCAGUUUGAUCGCUAUGUGGAUUUUUCUAUGGGGAUUAUUGAUCUUUUACAAAAAUAAAGCAUUGUUUCUUUCUAAAUCCUGAUCCUGU
ensembl:lncRNA